GUUUUUGUAGUUGGAUACAACAGCGGCUUUUCGAGUCGCAGGUUAUGGUUAAAUCCCAUGGAGGAACA
rnacentral:tRNA from 1 species